UACGUAGGGGGCAAGCGUUGUCCGGAAUCAUUGGGCGUAAAGCGCGUGUAGGCGGCCCGAUAAGUCCGCUGUGAAAGUCCAGGGCUCAACCCUGGGAUGCCGGUGGAUACUGUCGGGCUCGAGUCCGGAAGAGGAGUGUGGAAUUCCUGGUGUAGCGGUGAAAUGCGCAGAUAUCAGGAGGAACACCGGUGGCGAAGGCGCCACUCUGGGCCGAAACUGACGCUGAGGAGCGAAAGCGUGGGUAGCAAACAGG
rnacentral:rRNA from 1 species